AUUAAACGCUGGCGGCAUGCCUUACACAUGCAAGUCGAACGGCAGCACGGGGGCAACCUUGGUGGCGAGUGGCGAACGGGUGAGUAAAGCAUCGGAACGUGCCCUGGAGUGGGGAUAACGUAGCGAAAGUUACGCUAAUACCGCAUAUUCUGUGAGCAGGAAAGCAGGGGAUCGCAGGACCUUGCGCUCUGGGAGCGGCCGAUGUCGGAUUAGCUAGUUGGUGGGGUAAAGGCCUACCAAGGCGACGAUCCGUAGCGGGUCUGAGAGGAUGAUCCGCCACACUGGGACUGAGACACGGCCCAGACUCCUACGGGAGGCAGCAGUGGGGAAUUUUGGACAAUGGGCGAAAGCCUGAUCCAGCCAUGCCGCGUGAGUGAAGAAGGCCUCGGUUG
rnacentral:rRNA from 1 species